rnacentral:rRNA from 1 species
CGAACGCUGGCGGCGUGCUUAACACAUGCAAGUCGAACGGACCUUCGGGUUAGUGGCGAACGGGUGUKUAACACGUGGGUGAUUUGCCCUGCACUUUGGGAUAAGCCUGGGAAACUGGGUCUAAUACCGAAUAGGACCACGGCAUUCAUGUGCUGUGGUGGAAAGCUUUUGCGGUGUGGGAUGGGCCCGCGGCCUAUCAGCUUGUUGGUGGGGUAAUGGCCUACCAAGGCGACGACGGGUAGCCGGCCUGAGAGGGUGACCGGCCACACUGGGACUGAGAUACGGCCCAGACUCCUACGGGAGGCAGCAGUGGGGAAUAUUGCACAAUGGGCGCAAGCCUGAUGCAGCGACGCCGCGUGAGGGAUGACGGCUUCGGGUUGUAAACCUCUUUCGCCAGGGACGAAGCGCAAGUGACGGUACCUGGAGAAGAAGGACCGGCCAACUACGUGCCAGCAGCCGCGGUAAUACGUAGGGUCCGAGCGUUGUCCGGAAUUACUGGGCGUAAAGAGCUCGUAGGUGGUUUGUCGCGUUGUUCGUGAAAACUCACAACUCAAUUGUGGGCGUGCGGGCGAUACGGGCAGACUGGAGUACUGCAGGGGAGACUGGAAUUCCUGGUGUAGCGGUGGAAUGCGCAGAUAUCAGGAGGAAAACCGGUGGCGAAGGCGGGUCUCUGGGCAGUAACUGACGCUGAGGAGCGAAMGCGUGGGGAG